rnacentral:lncRNA from 1 species
AUAAAAACUCCAUGUUUAUCUUCUUUAGGGCAUUAGAGUACUUCUCCCAUCUCUCUAGACUACGUAUAUUAACUCUGAGCUCACUCAGAAGACAAGAAGGAUUUUAAAAGCAUUGGCAUCUCUGCAAAUAAGAAAAAAGUACAAGGGAAAGACAAGAACAGACCAGGAAAUGGACACAUGCAACAAGUCUCAGUUUGGAAAGAGGAAAAAUUCCUAGCAACCUUUGCCAGAGAUUCCAUAUCACCUUGCAAUAGAAAUAGGACAGUCAGGAAACCUAAGUAGGUAAUGUGAUUAUAUGGUCUGUGCAUUCCAAUUCUAUAUUCCAUCU